rnacentral:pre_miRNA from 1 species
AAAGUACUCCCUCCGUCCCAAAAUUCUUGUAUUAGAUUUGUCUAGAUACAGAUGUAUCAAGUCACAUUUUAGUAUUAGAUACAUCCGUAUCUAGACAAAUCUAAGACAAGAAAUUUGGGAUAGAGGGAGUAGUUG